rnacentral:rRNA from 1 species
UUUGAUCCUGGCUCAGAUUGAACGCUGGCGGAAUGCUUUACACAUGCAAGUCGAACGGCAGCACGGGAGCUUGCUCCUGGUGGCGAGUGGCGAACGGGUGAGUAACAUAUCGGAACGUACCCAGUCGUGGGGGAUAACUAUCCGAAAGGAUAGCUAAUACCGCAUACGUCCUGAGGGAGAAAGCGGGGGAUCGCAAGACCUCGCGCGAUUGGAGCGGCCGAUAUCGGAUUAGCUAGUUGGUGGGGUAAAGGCUCACCAAGGCGACGAUGCGUAGCGGGUCUGAGAGGACGACCCGCCACACUGGAACUGAGACACGGUCCAGACUCCUACGGGAGGCAGCAGUGGGGAAUUUUGGACAAUGGGGGCAACCCUGAUCCAGCCAUUCCGCGUGAGUGAAAGAAGGCCUUCGGGUUGUAAAGCUCUUUCAGCAGGAACGAAACGGUCGGCUUUAAUAAAGUCGGCUAAUGACGGUACCUGCAGAAGAAGCACCGGCUAACUACGUGCCAGCAGCCGCGGUAAUACGUAGGGUGCGAGCGUU